ncrna:unclassified sequences S15-Flavobacteria ribosomal protein leader
UAUAUUUGCGCCGCUGAUAACAGCAUACAUAAGAAUCAUUUAAAUAAUAUUGGAAUG